GCUCAGGUGGCCUUGUGGUUAGAGCGUCCGCCUCGAAUGCGGAAGGACAUGGGUUAGAACCCCGGCUGAGUU